rnacentral:rRNA from 1 species
UACAGAGGUCUCAAGCGUUGUUCGGAUUCAUUGGGCGUAAAGGGUGCGUAGGUGGCGGGGUAAGUCAGGUGUGAAAUCUCGAGGCUCAACCUCGAAACUGCACUUGAUACUGCCUUGCUCGAGUACUGGAGAGGAGAUUGGAAUUUACGGUGUAGCAGUGAAAUGCGUAGAUAUCGUAAGGAAGACCAGUGGCGAAGGCGGGUCUCUGGACAGUUCCUGACGCUGAGGCACGAAGGUCAGGGGAGCAAACGGG